CAAAUGACUCUCGGCAAUGGAUAUCUCGGCUCUUGCAUCGAUGAAGAACGUAGUGAAAUGCGAUACUUGGUGUGAAUUGCAGAAUCUCGUGAACCAUUGAGUCUUUGAACGCAAGUUGUGCCCGAGGCCCCGUGGUCGAGGGCACGCCUGCUUGGGGGUCAUGGC
rnacentral:rRNA from 1 species